GAGGAGGGUGUGUGGGGGCGGGGGCGGGGCAGCACUAGUCGGCCAUGGAAGCUCCUGACGCUGGUUGCCAUGGCUACUGACACCUGCAUCACCCUUUUCCCAUCAAUUAACAGGCAGAUCUAAGGACAGGGUGGCCCCAUGUCCAGCUAAUUUCUAAUAUAUUAUUUACUCUAAUCAAUCACUCUUUUAUCCCAAGCAGCUUAAACCCACCCUGAGUUUUCCUGAAAGGUCCUGACGAGCAAAAGAAACUAUAAAAACACGCGAGGUUGGAGCUCCUGCUUAGAUGAAACAGAUGACUUUCUGGGCCCGCUUCUGCUCACAGCAGGCAGGUGCAACAGUGACGGAUUGGUUGAAACAUGAGGAUUAAUGGAAUCACCCGAUGAAAGGAGGCGUCUGUGCUAUAACCCUAUUCAUACAAAAAGAGAGACGGUGCUGGAUGAAGCUCUCAUCUACAGUGACCAGGGGCUGCUAGGAGACUUGAUCUGCUCUCAAACCGAAAGGAACACAGACGCAUGCAGAAGGGCCCUCGACACAGGCUCGAACGGACGUCAUGACGAUGUUGUUUAUUUUAAAUUCUAUCUGAAAUGGGUGUCCAUGCUCCCCGCCCCCCACCACACACACACUGUAUUGUAACUGGAAGGUGAGCGUCUGUCUGCAGAAACAGACACCGUUCAACAGGGUAUGGCUAUUCACUAAUCAACUCCACCUGCGGAAUUUCUAAUGCAAUGAAAUAAACAUUGCCUCAAUUCGAGGAAUGUCUUGGCUAAAGUGUCCUUCAACUUUCCAGCCCAGGCUUGCAUGAAAACUUAAGGCAAGUCAAUCCUGCUUAAGAAUAUGGACUUUGGGACCACGAUCCUGUGCUGAAAAAUAAAAUUCUCCGAAGAAUAAAAUUCUGGAGUCAGGUUGGAGUUUCUCAAGCUUGGCAGACUGGAUGAUUGAUUGACUUGAUUAAGAUGAUAGACAUAAUAUAAGAAGGAAAAGAAGGGGCUUUCCAUGUUCGAAUUCUUCUGCAGAACCUUCAGUGAAAGCAUAAGUUGUGAAGUGACAGUUUGUCCAGGGCUGGUGGGAGUGGGAGUGGAGGUGAUCUGUCUUUUUUUACUUCUUUUCCAAACACCUGUAAACACCCAACAGAGC
rnacentral:lncRNA from 1 species